UACGUAGGGCGCAAGCGUUGUCCGGAAUUAUUGGGCGUAAAGGGCGCGUAGGCGGCUUGGCAAGUGGAAGGUGAAAUCCCUCGGCUUAACCGAGGAACUGCCCUCCAAACUGCUUUGCUUGAGGCCGGGAGAGGUGAGUGGAAUUCCCAGUGUAGCGGUGAAAUGCGUAGAUAUUGGGAGGAACACCAGUGGCGAAGGCGGCUCACUGGACCGGUUCUGACGCUGAGGCGCGAAAGCGUGGGGAGCAAACGGG
rnacentral:rRNA from 1 species